GGCCGGUUAGCACAAUUGGUAGUGUGUCUGACUACGAAAGCUCUUACGAGCUGAGCAUAUCAGGAGGUUGCGGGUUCGAGCCCCGUGCUGGUCA
rfam:Malassezia pachydermatis strain CBS 1879 scaffold9, whole genome shotgun sequence.